rnacentral:rRNA from 1 species
GUACAUGCUUACAACAUAGAUUUAAUGCACCGAAUUCGAUUAGAACUUUGCAAUUAAGCAUGCUCGAGAUAGAGUAGUAUUGGGAUGGGUGACAUCCCAAGAAUUCCUAGUGUUUUAUAUG